rnacentral:rRNA from 1 species
UACGUAGGCAGCAAGCGUUGUUCGGAAUUACUGGGCGUAAAGAGUGUGUAGGCGGUGCUCUAAGUUCGGUGUGAAAUCUCCCGGCUUAACUGGGAGGGUGCGCCGGAAACUGGAGUGCUCGAGCGUGGGAGAGGAAAGCGGAAUUCCUGGUGUAGCGGUGAAAUGCGUAGAUAUCAGGAGGAACACCUGCGGUGUAGACGGCUUUCUGGACCAUUGCUGACGCUGAGACACGAAAGCGUGGGUAGCGAACAGG